rfam:Bursaphelenchus xylophilus, Ka4C1 (inbred line), WGS project CADV01000000 data, contig: scaffold00422.3
CAAACGGCCCUCUUUAGGGCCACAACUAAUAUACUCGUACAUAAUUG